UAUCUCUGCCAGCCCAAGAUGGAUCCAGACCAGUGGUCUAGAGGCAAAAGGUUCUAUAUCCCAUUACCAACCUCCCCACAUCAUUCAGGCCCCUGACUGUAAGAAUUCUGAGUAAUUCAUGUCCCUUAUUAGAAUCUCAGGCAAGAAAACGAGAGAAUUUUGAGAUGCCUGUGACACCGGAGUUCUGCUGCACAGCAAAUAUAGUCACAGGGCUUCAUCAUAUAGAACACUCUUGGAGCGAGAGCAUUCAGAUUCUUCCAGUGGCCGGGUGAGGAAGUUGCCUCUCAGCAAGGACAAAAGGGAAAUGAGGGAAAUUUUACAAGAAAAUUUUCAUUUUAGUUAAAAAGCCAUUUUCCACCAAAACAUUUUUCAGUGAAAAAAUUUGAACUGACUAAAAUACCCUGACCUCAGUCCUGAGGAACAGCCUAAAGCUGGAAACGGGGGAA
rnacentral:lncRNA from 1 species